rnacentral:rRNA from 1 species
AUUGAACGCUAGCGGGAUGCUUUACACAUGCAAGUCGAACGCGUGGCGGACGGGUGAGUAAUAUAUCUGAACGUGCCCAGUAGCGGGGGAUAACUACUCGAAAAAGUGGCUCUUACCCCAUACUAUUGGAGCGGCCGAUAUCGGAUUGGCUAGUUGGUGGGGUAAAGGCUCACCAAGGCAACGAUCCGUAGCUGGUCUGAGAGGACGACCAGCCACACUGGGACUGAGACACGGCCCAGACUCCUACGGGAGGCAGCAGUGGGGAAUUUUGGACAAUGGGGGAAACCCUGAUCCAGCCAUCCCGCGUGUAUGAGAAGGCCUUCGGGUUGUAAAGCACUUUUGGCAGAGAAGCGGUAUCUGCAGAAGAAGCACCGGCUAACUACGUGCCAGCAGCCGCGGUAAUUC